rnacentral:lncRNA from 1 species
GGCUGUGAGCGCUGGAUUACAGUGAAAAUAUUCUUAAGCUCUUAGGAAGAACUGAGGACAUGCUCUUAAUUUGGAGAAGGAUAAAAGCUAGGAGUGGAAAGAUACACCAAUUCAGAUUUUAUGUCUGAUAUUGAUGGUAGAAUGUCUAUGUCAUCAGGUAUGUUUUUAUGUUGAUAUCUUGAAAGGAUUCUAAGUAAUCGAUCGAUGGAAGCUGAGUAUGCUGUAGAUGUAUAGGAUAUAUUCUGGUUUUAAUAUUAGUUACAGAAUUGGUUGUCAUACUAUCAGAUAUCAUGACACUAUACUACAAAGACAAAGGUAUCAUAGCCCUUGCUAAAGAGCUUUGGUCUCACUAGAUAUCUAAGCACAUAGAGUAGCAGAACACGCGACUACCUCAAGUAAAAAUACAUAGAGGUAUAUAAAGGUGCAGAGAGUAAACUCUACAUGUGAUGUGGUUGAUCCACCGAUAAGUCACUUAGCUAGCCUAAGACUAAAGUCUGUCUUGUGAAGAUAGGAUUUAAUACAUGGC